UACGUAGGUGGCAAGCGUUGUCCGGAUUUACUGGGCGUAAAGCGAACGCAGGCGGACUGUUAAGUAGGAAGUGAAAGGUCGGAGCUCAACUCCAACAUUGCUUCCUAUACUGGCAGUCUUGAGUAGCGGAGAGGAAGGGGGAACGACACGUGUAGCGGUGAAAUGCGUUGAUAUGUGGUCGGAACACCCAUGGCGAAGCACCCUUCUG
rnacentral:rRNA from 1 species